CAUUCUCAGAUCUGCCUCUCUCUCUCUCUCUCUCUCUUUCUCUCUCGUUUCUACAGCUGCGCCCUUCGAUCUCUCUCGAGUCUUGACUGAGUCGCCGGUCUUGUCUCGUUUCGUCUCUCUCGAUCUCGCAGGUACUCUCUUCUUUCGUUUUCGAUUUCUUCAUCCAAUGUUUCGAUUCCGGUGUGCUGCCAUUUCGGUUUCUUUGGGAGUUUGCCAUCGCCAAUUGAUGCUUGAUUCCAUAACCCAAGUCUCGUUUGCUACCUGAGAUGGCAUCUGUCACUAACGCUUCAGGAAUGGAGUUCGAGGUGUUCUUGAGUUUUAGGGGACCGGAUACUCGGGACCAUUUUACCAGUUGCCUCUAUAGUCAAAUGGUGGAGAAAGGAAUCCGCGUCUUCAAAGACAACGAAGAGCUCCGAGUCGGUCAGAAGAUUGGUGGAAACCUUUUGCAAGCCCUUGACAACACUCAAAUCUAAAUCCCCAUCUUCUCUAAGGGUUUUGCUUCCAGUCCAUGGUGUCUCCGUGAGGUUGCUCAUAUGGUAGAUUGCACUUCAAAGUCGGAUGGGAAGAAGGAGAUCCUCCCCAUUUUCUUCGAUGUGGAGCCUGAUGAUGUCAAGCUCAAAACAGAAUUGUAUAAAAAUGCCCUGUCCAUGCAUAAGAAUAAGUAUGGCCCCGAUGAGGUGAAGCGCUGGGAAGUUGCUCUUGUUGAGGUUCCAACUAGAGUUGGUUGGAAGCUGGAAGGAAAAGGGUAUGGGGAACUUAUAAAAUUGAUUGUUCAAGAGCUUCUACAUAAGCUGAAGGGGAAGGAUAGACCUCUUCCUGACUAUCUAGUUGAAAUGGAUGAUUUAGUACAAAUAGAGAAACUGUUGGAUGCUAACUCUAAUGACCAUGUACGAUUCCUUAUAAUCCAUGGAAUAGGUGGUAUUGGUAAAUCAACUCUUGCUAGUAUUAUCUUCAACCGAUUCCGGUCUAAAUUCAAUUCUAGUAGUUACCUUGAUGAUGUUCCAUGUCAAGGUCUUUUAGAUGUGCAAAAGAAACUGCUAUCUGACACACUAGGCUCAACCUCUAUUAUCGGAAUCCUCGACACCAAUGAUGGGAUCGAUCGCAUAAGAAGAGGACUUAGCAACAAGAAAGUUCUGGUUGUUGUUGAUAAUGUGGAUGAGAAGAGGCAACUCGAGAACCUCGCAGGGAGACAUGAUUGGUUUGGUUUUGGAAGUAGGAUCAUUAUUACAAUCAGGGACAAAAGCACAAUACUUGAUAAGGACAACCAAAUGCCACCUAGCAAUUACUUGGCCUACCCAAUGAAGGAGAUGCCCAUGGUUCAAGCAAUUCGGCUUUUCAGCAAGCAUGCCUUUAGAAGUGAUACUCCUCCAAGAGAUUGCUACAAUUUUUUGGAAAGAGUCGUUUCAAGCAUAGGAAGGCUUCCUUUGACUCUAGAAGUAGUGGGUUCUCUUUUCGCCAACACGGUCAAUGGGAUGAGACAUUGGAGGACUUAAAGCAAGUCCCGCAUAAGCACGUCCGAAAUACAUUGAUGAUAAGUAUCAACAAAUUGGAGGACAUAGAAAUGGCCAUAUUCCUAGACAUAGCAUGUUUUUGCAUCGGGGAGUAUAAGACUUAUGCAGAUUACAUGUGGCGUAGUAGUGGAUAUUCUCCACGCAGCGUGAUUGAUGUUCUUCUCCUCAUGUCGUUGAUAAAGAUUGAUGAGUUCAAUAGGUUUUGGAUGCAUGAUGAAAUUCGAGAUCUAGGAAGGUACAUUGUCAAGGAAGAGAAUUUUGAAGAUGCUGGAGAGCGCCGUUGGGUGCAAAUUGAUGAGAAUACUCUAGAUAUACUGAGUAACAACGAGGAAAAACGAGCUGUACGAGCACUCAGUUUGGGUAUUAGUCAUGACUUAAUACCUGAAGAAUUAGCCUAUUUGCCAAUGCUGAGGUUUCUUGGAGGGGAAAGACUGAAUUUUGUAGGUGACUUCAAGAAUCUUCUUCAUAGUCUAAGAUGGCUUUCUUGGCGUCAUUGCCCGCACGAUUUUUCAGCGACAAAUCUUCACUUGGUGAAUUUGGUCGUGCUCGACCUUUCAUCAAGCGACAUCACCCACAAUUGGGGUGGAUGGAGGCAUAUCGAGGUACUAACACGCCUCGCUCAAGUUCGCUUUGAAUUCUAUCAAUUGUGUUUCAUAUUCUC